rnacentral:rRNA from 1 species
AGGACGAACGCUGGCGGCGUGCUUAACACAUGCAAGUCGAGCGGAAAUGCCCUUCGGGGUACUCGAGCGGCGAACGGGUGAGUAACACGUGAGUAAUCUGCCCCUAGCUCUGGGAUAGCUCCGGGAAACCGGGAUUAAUACCGGAUACGACCACUUUAGACAUCUGUUGUGGUGGAAAGAAUUUUGGCUAGGGAUGAGCUCGCGGCCUAUCAGCUUGUUGGUGGGGUAAUGGCCUACCAAGGCGACGACGGGUAGCCGGCCUGAGAGGGCGACCGGCCACACUGGGGACUGAGACACGGCCCAGACUCCUACGGGAGGCAGCAGUGGGGAAUAUUGCGCAAUGGGCGAAAGCCUGACGCAGCGACGCCGCGUGGGGGAUGAAGGCCUUCGGGUUGUAAACCCCUUUCAGCAGGGACGAAGCGAAAGUGACGGUACCUGCAGAAGAAGCGCCGGCUAACUACGCGCCAGCAGCCGC